CUUUUUUCCCGACAAAAUCUUUCCUUAGAACUUUUGUUUUCUUUCUGUUUUAGGAUUCUUAGAUUAGCUCAUGAUCUUAUACUAAUACUGUGAUUUGAUAUUGGGGAUCUUGAAGUUUUGGUUUGUUGAAACUGGAACCAUGCAGCUACAGAACAAUGAU
rnacentral:sRNA from 1 species